UACGUAGGGGGCUAGCGUUGUCCGGAAUCAUUGGGCGUAAAGCGCGUGUAGGCGGUCCGGUAAGUCCGCUGUGAAAGUCCAGGGCUCAACCCUGGGAUGCCGGUGGAUACUGUCGGGCUCGAGUCCGGAAGAGGCGAGUGGAAUUCCUGGUGUAGCGGUGAAAUGCGCAGAUAUCAGGAGGAACACCAAUGGCGAAGGCAGCUCGCUGGGACGUGACUGACGCUGAGACGCGAAAGCGUGGGGAGCAAACAGG
rnacentral:rRNA from 1 species